rnacentral:rRNA from 1 species
GAUGAACGCUAGCUACAGGCUUAACACAUGCAAGUCGAGGGGCAGCAUGGUCUUAGCUUGCUAAGGCCGAUGGCGACCGGCGCACGGGUGAGUAACACGUAUCCAACCUGCCGUCUACUCUUGGACAGCCUUCUGAAAGGAAGAUUAAUACAAGAUGGCAUCAUGAGCCCGCAUGUUCACAUGAUUAAAGGUAUUCCGGUAGACGAUGGGGAUGCGUUCCAUUAGAUAGUAGGCGGGGUAACGGCCCACCUAGUCUUCGAUGGAUAGGGGUUCUGAGAGGAAGGUCCCCCACAUUGGAACUGAGACACGGUCCAAACGCCUACGGGAGGCAGCAGUGAGGAAGAUUGGGCAAUGGGCGAGAGCCUGAACCAGCCAAGUAGCGUGAAGGACGACUGCCCUAUGGGUUGUAAACUUCUUUUAUAAAGGAAUAAAGUCGGGUAUGGAUACCCGUUUGCAUGUACUUUAUGAAUAAGGAUCGGCUAACUCCGUG